UACGGGAGGCAGCAGUGGGGAAUAUUGCACAAUGGGCGCAAGCCUGAUGCAGCCAUGCCGCGUGUAUGAAGAAGGCCUUCGGGUUGUAAAGUACUUUCAGUCGUGAGGAAGGUGUUAAGGUUAAUAACCUUAGCAAUUGACGUUAGCGACAGAAGAAGCACCGGCUAACUCCGUGCCAGCAGCCGCGGUAAUACGGAGGGUGCGAGCGUUAAUCGGAAUUACUGGGCGUAAAGGGCACGCAGGCGGUUAAUUAAGUUGGAUGUGAAAUCCCCGGGCUUAACCUGGGAAUGGCAUUCAAGACUGGUUAGCUAGAGUCUUGUAGAGGGGGUAGAAUUCCAUGUGUAGCGGUGAAAUGCGUAGAGAUGUGGAGGAAUACCGGUGGCGAAGGCGGCCCCUGGGGGACAAAGACUGACGCUCAUGUGCGAAAGCGUGGGGAGCAAACAGGGAUUAGAUACC
rnacentral:rRNA from 1 species